rnacentral:rRNA from 1 species
GUUCUGUAAGCCUGUGAAGGUGUACUGUGAGGUAUGCUGGAGGUAUCAGAAGUGCGAAUGCUGACAUAAGUAACGAUAAAGCGGGUGAAAAGCCCGCUCGCCGGAAGACCAAGGGUUCCUGUCCAACGUUAAUCGGGGCAGGGUGAGUCGACCCCUAAGGCGAGGCCGAAAGGCGUAGUCGAUGGGAAACAGGUUAAUAUUCCUGUACUUGGUGUUACUGCGAAGGGGGGACGGAGAAGGCUAUGUUGGCCGGGCGACGGUUGUCCCGGUUUAAGCGUGUAGGCUGGUUUUCCAGGCAAAUCCGGAAAAUCAAGGCUGAGGCGUGAUGACGAGGCACUACGGUGCUGAAGCAACAAAUGCCCUGCUUCCAGGAAAAGCCUCUAAGCAUCAGGUAACAUCAAAUCGUACCCCAAACCGACACAGGUGGUCAGGUAGAGAAUACCAAGGCGCUUGAGAGAACUCGGGUGAAGGAACUAGGCAAAAUGGUGCCGUAACUUCGGGAGAAGGCACGCUGAUAUGUAGGUGAAGCGACUUGCUCGUGGAGCUGAAAUCAGUCGAAGAUACCAGCUGGCUGCAACUGUUUAUUAAAAACACAGCACUGUGCAAACACGAAAGUGGACGUAUACGGUGUGACGCCUGCCCGGUGCCGGAAGGUUAAUUGAUGGGGUCAGCGCAAGCGAAGCUCUUGAUCGAAGCCCCGGUAAACGGCGGCCGUAACUAUAACGGUCCUAAGGUAGCGAAAUUCCUUGUCGGGUAAGUUCCGACCUGCACGAAUGGCGUAAUGAUGGCCAGGCUGUCUCCACCCGAGACUCAGUGAAAUUGAACUCGCUGUGAAGAUGCAGUGUACCCGCGGCAAGACGGAAAGACCCCGUGAACCUUUACUAUAGCUUGACACUGAACAUUGAGCCUUGAUGUGUAGGAUAGGUGGGAGGCUUUGAAGUGUGGACGCCAGUCUGCAUGGAGCCGACCUUGAAAUACCACCCUUUAAUGUUUGAUGUUCUAACGUGGACCCGUGAUCCGGGUUGCGGACAGUGUCUGGUGGGUAGUUUGACUGGGGCGGUCUCCUCCUAAAGAGUAACGGAGGAGCACGAAGGUUGGCUAAUCCUGGUCGGACAUCAGGAGGUUAGUGCAAUGGCAUAAGCCAGCUUGACUGCGAGCGUGACGGCGCGAGCAGGUGCGAAAGCAGGUCAUAGUGAUCCGGUGGUUCUGAAUGGAAGGGCCAUCGCUCAACGGAUAAAAGGUACUCCGGGGAUAACAGGCUGAUACCGCCCAAGAGUUCAUAUCGACGGCGGUGUUUGGCACCUCGAUGUCGGCUCAUCA